rnacentral:rRNA from 1 species
CAAGAGCGUAUGUAAAAGUUGUUGCAGUUAAAAAGCUCGUAGUUGAACCUUGGGUUUGGUUGGCCGGUCCGCUUUUUUGCGAGUACUGGAUUCAACCGAGCCUUUCCUUCUGGCUAACCAGUCGUUUCGGCGGCUGGCGAACCAGGAUUUUUACUUUGAGAAAAUUAGAGUGUUCAAAGCAGGCAUUAGCUUGAAUAUAUUAGCAUGGAAUAAUGGAAUAGGACGUUAUGGUUCUAUUUUGUUGGUUUCUAGGACCAUCGUAAUGAUUAAUAGGGACGGUCGGGGGCAUCAGUAUUCAGUUGUCAGAGGUGAAAUUCUUGGAUUUACUGAAGACUAACUACUGCGAAAGCAUUUGCCAAGGACGUUUUCAUUAA